GACCUCAGAUUCUUUCACUGCAGUGGACGACAUACAAACAUAGAAAUAAUAUAAGGUGCAGCUGAGAAAAAGCUUCACCAUGAUGACAAAGACAUCUUUCAUCUUUCUUCUGUUUGUUGCCUGCUGCAACGCCCAGACCAACACAACCAUUGCUGAAUCAACAACUACAACUGUUGCUACAAGCACAGUUGCAGAAAUGACAACAACUGCCACUGCAGAAACAACCACACCUACCUUAACAACCACGGCUGCUGCAACAACAACCACAGCUGCAGCAAUGACAACCACGGCUGCCCCUACAACCACAUCUGCAGGAACAACAACUGCAACUUCCCCUACAACUACAAUUUCAGAUAUGACAACCACAUCAGCCCCUACAACCACUGGUGAAUCAACAGCUACAACAACAGCUACUGCUGAAUCAACUACAAUUUCCACUACAACUAUAGCUGCAGAAACAACAACAACCACUGCAACAACCACAGCUGCAGCAAUGACAUCUUCAACAACAAGCACACUGCCCCCUACAACCAUUGCAGACUCAAUGAGUACAAUUGCCCCUUCAUCUACAACUGCAGAACAAACAACUGCUGCAACAACUACAGCUGCAGAAACGACCACAGCUGCCCCAACAACCACGGCUUCUCCAACAGCAACCACACUGGCCCCUACAGUUACCGCUGAAUCAACAACUACAACUUCC